CCUACGGGAGGCAGCAGUGAGGAAUAUUGGUCAAUGGGCGCGAGCCUGAACCAGCCAAGUCGCGUGAGGGAAGACGGUCCUAUGGAUUGUAAACCUCUUUUGUCGGGGAGCAAAAGACGCCACGCGUGGCGUUCCGAGAGUACCCGAAGAAAAAGCAUCGGCUAACUCCGUGCCAGCAGCCGCGGUAAUACGGAGGAUGCGAGCGUUAUCCGGAUGUAUUGGGUUUAAAGGGAGCGUAGGCCGCAUGUCAAGCGUGCUGUGAAAUGUCCGGGCUCAACCCGGGCCUUGCAGCGCGAACUGGCGUGCUUGAGUCCGCGGAAAGCAGGCGGAAUUCGUCGUGUAGCGGUGAAAUGCUUAGAUAUGACGAAGAACCCCGAUUGCGAAGGCAGCAUACCGGCGCGCAACUGACGCUCAUGCACGAAAGCGUGGGUAUCGAACAGGAUUAGAUACCCGGGUAGUC
rnacentral:rRNA from 1 species